rnacentral:tRNA from 1 species
GGAGAUGUAGCUCAGGUGUUAGAGUGCUUGUUUAGUAUGCAUGGAGCCCUGGGUUUGAGCCCCGGUACUGCA